rnacentral:rRNA from 1 species
AGAUUGAACGCUGGCGGCAUGCCUAACACAUGCAAGUCGAACGGGAGUAGCAAUACUCUAGUGGCGGACGGGUGAGGAAUACGUAGGAAUUUGCCCUUAAGUGGGGGAUAACCCGGGGAAACCCGGAUUAAUACCGCAUGACCUCGAAAGAGCAAAGUGGGGGAUCGCAAGACCUCACGCUUUUGGAGAAGCCUACGUCGGAUUAGCUAGUUGGUGAGGUAAUGGCUCACCAAGGCGACGAUCCGUAACUGGUCUGAGAGGAUGAUCAGUCACACCGGAACUGAGACACGGUCCGGACUCCUACGGGAGGCAGCAGUGGGGAAUAUUGGACAAUGGGCGCAAGCCUGAUCCAGCAAUGCCGCGUGUGUGAAGAAGGCCUUCGGGUUGUAAAGCACUUAAGUUGGAAGAAAAACUCGACGUACUAACUAACAGUGAGUCUUGACGGUACCGAACACGAAUAAGACACCGGCUAACUCAGUCGCAGCGAGCCGC